UACGUAGGGUGCGAGCGUUAAUCGGAAUUACUGGGCGUAAAGCGUGCGCAGGCGGUCUGUUAAGACAGAUGUGAAAUCCCUGGGCUUAACCUAGGAAUUGCGCUUGUGACUGGCGGGCUUGAGUACGGUAGAGGGGGGUGGAAUUCCUGGUGUAGCAGUGAAAUGCGUAGAGAUCAGGAGGAACACCGAUGGCGAAGGCAGCCCCCUGGGCCUGUACUGACGCUCAUGCACGAAAGCGUGGGGAGCAAACAGG
rnacentral:rRNA from 1 species